AACGUAGGACGCAAGCGUUAUCCGGAGUUACUGGGCGUAAAGCGCGGGCAGGCGGUCACUCAAGUCUGAUGUGAAAUCUCUCCGCUCAACGGGGAGCAGCCAUUGGAAACUGGGCGACUGGAGUCUGACAGAGGUAGGCGGAAUUCCGGGUGGAGUGGUGAAAUGCGUAGAGAUCCGGAGGAACACCUGAGGCGAAGGCGGGCUACUGGGCUGAUACUGACGCUGAGGCGCGAAAGCUAGGGGAGCAAACAGG
rnacentral:rRNA from 1 species